UACGUAGGUGGCAAGCGUUAUCCGGAAUUAUUGGGCGUAAAGCGCGCGCAGGCGGUUUCUUAAGUCUGAUGUGAAAGCCCACGGCUCAACCGUGGAGGGUCAUUGGAAACUGGGAAACUUGAGUGCAGAAGAGAAGAGUGGAAUUCCACGUGUAGCGGUGAAAUGCGUAGAGAUGUGGAGGAACACCAGUGGCGAAGGCGGCUCACUGGCCCGGUACUGACGCUGAGGUGCGAAAGCGUGGGGAGCAAACAGG
rnacentral:rRNA from 1 species